AACGAACGCUGGCGGCGCGCCUAAUACAUGCAAGUCGAGCGAGAAGACGUAGCAAUACGUUUGUAAAGCGGCGAACGGGUGAGGAAUACAUGGGUAACCUACCCUCGAGUGGGGAAUAACUAGCCGAAAGGUUAGCUAAUACCGCGUACGCUCCUUGGACCUCGGUUCAGGGAGGAAAGCGAUACCGUGGGUAUCGCGCUCUUGGAUGGGCUCAUGUCCUAUCAGCUUGUUGGUGAGGAACGGCUCACCAAGGCUUCGACGGGUAGCUGGUCUGAGAGGACGAUCAGCCACACUGGCACUGCGACACGGGCCAGACUCCUACGGGAGGCAGCAGUAAGGAAUAUUGCGCAAUGGGCGAAAGCCUGACGCAGCGACGCCGCGUGGGGGAUGAAGGUCUUCGGAUUGUAAACCCCUUUCGGGAGGGAAGAUGGAACGAGCAAUCGUUCGGACGGUACCUCCAGAAGCAGCCACGGCUAACUUCGUGCCAGCAGCCGCGGUAA
rnacentral:rRNA from 1 species